AGUUUGAUCCGUGGCUCAGCCUGAACGCUGGCGGCGUGGUUAAGACAUGCAAGUCGCACGGUGUAGCAAUACACAGUGGCGAACGGGUGAGUAAUGUAUCGCUAACGUACCCUGGACUCCGGGAUAGCUGUCCGAAAGGGCAGGUAAUACCGGUUGAUGUGACGCUCAGGCAUCUGAGUGUUCCCAAAGGUCCGCCGGUCUGGGAGCGGGCGAUAUCGUAUCAGCUAGUUGGUGAGGUAACGGCUCACCAAGGCGACGACGCGUAGCCGGACUGAGAGGUUGGCCGGCCACAUCGGGACUGAGACACUGCCCGGACUCCUACGGGGGGCUGCAGUAACGAAUCUUCCCCAAUGCACGAAAGUGUGAGGGAGCGACGCCGCGUGUGGGACGAAGUCCUUCGGGAUGUAAACCACUGUCAGGGGAUACCAAGUUCUGAGGAUCCCCAGAGGAAGAGGCGGCUAACUCUGUG
rnacentral:rRNA from 1 species